GGACGGGUGAUUCGUCGGUUCCCCCGUGCGCCGUGCACUGCGCCCAGAGACCGCACAGUCGUUGUUCAACCCCCGUGCCAGGCCGCCGCCGUUCAACUGCUAGACGCGGCACGCGCGUCUCGAAGCUUCCUACCCAGUGUCCCAGCACCCCGACCCACUCCCCUAUCUGGCGUGUCCUGGUAAAAUAGCCACCCAGCGGCGAGUCCACCCGCAGACCUGAUCCACCCGAAACAAAGCAAAUCCUCCAAAAAACCAAAGCAAAUCCUCGAUGGACCAGCCGCAGCCGCAGCCAUCGGCAGCCGGGGCGGACACGACGGCGAACAACCCGCACGCCUUCACGUGCGAGCUCCCGCACUCGAUCUUUGCGCUGGCCUUCUCCCCCUCCGCGCCCGUCCUCGCCGCCGGCAGCUUCCUCGAGGACCUCCACAACCGCGUCUCCCUCCUCGCCUUCGACUCCGUCCACCCCUCCGCCACCUCCUUCCGCACCAUCCCCGCCCUCUCCUUCGACCACCCCUACCCACCCACCAAGCUCCAAUUCAACCCACGCGCCGCCGCUACGCCCCUCCUCGCCUCCUCCUCCGACGUCCUCCGCCUCUGGCACACCCCGCUCGACGAUCUCUCCCCCUCCGCCCCCGCUCCCGAGCUCCGUUCCGUCCUCGACAACCGCAAGGCCUCCGCCUCCGAGUUCUGCGCGCCCCUCACCUCCUUCGACUGGAACGAGAUCGAGCCCCGCCGGAUCGGGACUGCAUCCAUCGACACCACCUGCACCAUCUGGGACAUCGACCUCGGCGUCGUCGAGACGCAGCUCAUCGCGCACGACAAGGCCGUGCACGACAUCGCCUGGGGCGAGGCUGGCGUCUUUGCGUCCGUCUCCGCCGAUGGAUCCGUCCGAGUCUUCGACCUCCGGGACAAGGAGCACUCCACCAUCGUCUACGAGAGCCCCCGCCCAGACACGCCGCUCCUCCGGCUGGCCUGGAACCGCUAUGACCUACGGUACAUGGCCGCUCUGCUCAUGGACAGCAGCGCCGUCGUCGUGCUCGACAUACGCGCGCCCGGGGUGCCCGUGGCCGAGCUGCAUCGGCACGGGGCGUGCGUUAACGCGGUCGCCUGGGCACCGCAGGCCACGAGGCACCUCUGCUCGGCAGGUGACGACGGGCAGGCGCUGAUCUGGGAGCUGCCCGAGGCGGCGGUGCCUACCGAGGGGAUUGAUCCGGUGCUUGUUUAUGACGCUGGUGCGGAGAUAAACCAGCUGCAGUGGAUUGCCGCGCAUCCGGACUGGAUGGGCAUUGCCAUUGAGAACAAGGUUCAACUUCUCAGGGUCUGACCAGUUAUCAGACCAAUAUUUUAUGGCUAUCCUUGAUGCUAGCCGAACAAAGUUUUUGGGUUCAACUCCCUGUCUCCACCUGAACCGUGAAAUCAGUCAACAAACAAGACCUUUGUGGGAAGUCUUCCUUCAUUUCCCCAUUGCAUCGUUUAAUUGUGCCACUGUGAUCUGCCCCUCGCUGCUGUCUUAUUCAGUGCUGAAAACAGUGGGAUAAAGAACAACGCUUGAUUCUAUGGGGCCUUUGGACUUCAGACGAUCUGUCUACAUGCAUCAAGUUCUGGCAACCUGUUGGCAAAUUUAGUGCGCAAUUAACCAUCGUAGAGUUAUUCUGCUGAGCUACAGGCCUACAACAGAAGUGUAAUGCAGAGUCUGUUGUCAGUAGAUUCAUCUCUCCAUGAACAUAGACAUAAGUCUAUAGCAUCUGUUACUGUUUGUAAAGAGUUUGGGAGGUUGGCUCUUAGUUAUGCAGUAUACUUAUCUGUUUCUUUCGGUUCA